AACGAACGCUGGCGGCAUGCCUAACACAUGCAAGUCGAACGACACCUUCGGGUUUACUUGCUCACGCUUGUGUCACCCGUCGGAACCUUCCUUUAGGCUUGUACUACCUCCGUGACAUUUGAGCUUAUCCCGGAUGAUGUCUUCCUACUAAAGAUUUAUCUCCUUUUGAUGGGCCCGCGCUCGAUUAGCUAGUUGGUGCGGUAAAGGACUACAAAGGCGACGAUCCAUAGCUGGUCUGAGAGGAUGAUCAGCCACACUGGGACUGAGACACGGCCCAUAAGCAUACGGGAGGCAGGAGUGGGGAAUAGUGGAAGAUGGGCGAAAGGAUGAUCCAGCAAUGCCGCGAGAGUGAUGAAGGCCUUAGGGUGGUAAAGCUCUGUUACCCGAGAUGAUAAUGACAGUAUCGAGAGAAUAAGCGCCGGCUAACUCCGU
rnacentral:rRNA from 1 species